AGGAGCGUUAAAUCAGGAUGCAUUUGAUGGUGCUCCUGAAGUAGCUGGGCCUCAAUGCAGAGGCAGUAUCACUCUGUCUCAGAAGUGCUGGCCCCAGAGUUUGGACACUUUGCCAGGAAAACAGUGCAGAAAAAAUAUGCUUGUGAAAGUCAUCUCCCCCUGAAAGUUAUGGUUGUGGUGUUUGUGCAAGUGCCAUGUUUAAUAUAUUUUAAUCUCUUCAUACUUAACUCAGUAUGGUUUAACUGUACGUGGUAUUUUACCCUCUGAAGAGAAUUCAGUAUUUGUGUACUGCUAUGGAAGUGUGAGAGAAGCAGGAAGAAGCCCAAGACUGACAUACCAAUUAAUGCCUCUGCAAAAUUAACUGUUUGUCUGCUGCCUCAUCUCCCCACUCCUAGGAACUGCUGUAAAACUGUGAUGUUUGGGUUGUGUUGGUUCUCUGAGCAACUGUGGUUAACUGGGAAACAAUUUUGGCUGUCUCAUGCAGUGGCCAAGAAUGUAGUUCUAGAGUUCAGUGGUGGUUUACCUUUGCAGGAGAUUGCAGCUACCUGCCUGGAUGGGUCAGCCAGACUGGAAGGGGGUCCCAGAAAGUUGUUUGCUGCAACAGGCGGCUCAUCUGCAAAUGGUGCAGGUGGAGCAAGAACCAGAGCCUCUGCUACUAUACUUCACUUUCUGGUGUUAUGAGGGAUUUGGGGUUUGUGCUCUGGCAGUUUGUUCAGCUUUCACCAUAGGUGUCGAGAGGGGUCAGUCUUCAUUAAUAAGCUUGGCUGGGCUUCAUGGUCUGUAUAAACAAAGGCAUCUACCUAUGACCUAUGGGUGUUUUGACCAGAGCCUCUGUGCUGGAGUGUUUAAUGUCUCUGCCACUUUUUCUAAAUAUCAGGGUAUGUAAAAGCUUCUCUGCAGCUAAAUUUUUGGAGAUAAAUCCAAAUGGAUUCCUUUGCUGUGCAAGUUACCACUUACUGCGUGACUAUCUAAGGUGAACUUUUUUCCCAUUUGGAAAAAUUCCUUUCUAGACCCCAUCUUUAUGAAAGACUACAAAAUGAUGUGUGCAUUUUCAGUUACCAGUCUCCCAAAUGUGUCUGGACCAUUGCUGAAAGCAGAGGAGAGACAUUUUGUGUUAAAAUAGACCUACAGCAAGCUAAAGGGUAACACCUUUCAGUAUGAUCAUACCCUGGUGUCCCCAAACCAAACCAACGCUUGCAAGAACUCUCCUUGCUCUGUUAAAUUUUGUGGUGUUUUUCCCACUGUGUUGGAGAAGCGGCUUCUCCCACCAGUAGCUUGUUGAUUCACCACAGUAUUUGAUUUGCGUGCCCUGGUGUUUCCAUUCACACCUGGGCAGGGAGGUGGGGUUUUCAGGGCAUUGGCAAGCCCAAAGUAAGUGGAAGUCGAGUUCACAGCAACAGUCACCUGUAAGUUGCAGUUACCUCAUCGUGCAGGAAUCCUCUUCAUAAGAGAAGAGGCAGCGCGAUUUAUAGAUAUGUCCCAACCUACUCUGUUUUUUUUCAUCUAAUUCUGAUCUUGAACUUGAAAGCUCUCAGUGUACUGGGACUAAAAGUUUUGCUGCUCCUGUUUGCUUCCCACCAAAAGCCGCAGCUAAAAGCUAGAGCGCAGCUGAUGACAGCAUCUCUGUGGAGUGUGAGGAGUGUGUGUACAUACUUCAGGGCCAGGAGAGACUGUGUCAUUCCUGAAAAUCUGUUGAAAGGAGAAUGGCACCAACCCUAAUGCAGAAAGCAUCCCUGCCCAGGGACUAAGUGUGCUUCUUCUGGCAAGGUGACAGUGGAGAAGAGGCUGGUAGAGGAACAUAAUGAGGAAAAGGGGUUCUUUGCCUCCCUCUCCCUUUUAUAUACAAUUCAAGGCAAUUCAGCCUUUUCAGUUAAGCAGCAUGUUAGCCUCUGAGCUGCCGUUUCAGGUAUGUCACUUUACAUGUCGGUGAGAAUUUUUGGAUGGGCGUUUUCUGCUUGAAUCAGACCUGCUGGAAAAACCUGCUGCUUCUCUCAGCUGCAGUUUGUCCUGCAUCUGUGUCUUAAAUCCAAUUCAUUCAAGUGAUUGAUUGCUUAACACCCCUCUGCCCCCCGCCUUUUUCUUUACUUAGCAGACCCAUUUGCUAGGAUUUCUCAUUUGAAGUGCCCUGGAAGGCUGUCAUCUCUGGUGUAUUAUGUUUUGAUCUGGUAGAUGACAGAAAGCCCAUUUCUAAAGCUCGCUCUGCCAAAAUGUCCUUUGGAAGUUGUCAUGGCGCUUGCAUUCUCAGACCUCUGACGUGUUUCCAUUUGUGAAGAUAUCCUGUGAUAUGAAGCUGUGUGAUUGUCUUGGCUGACAAGCUCAAGGAUUUUAUCCUCUUGAAUAAUUUAAUAACCAUUCAUUAUAACAGUGUUUGCAGUGUUUACUCAAAAUUUACUGAGCUGUUUUGCUGGGCUUUAUUGCUGCUUCUUGUAUCACCAUUGGUACGUUUUUACACCCUCAUCUUGAUGGUAUCCAUGGACUCAGAAUCUCAUUCCUCAUCACCACCUCUUUUGGGGUUGAUUUGCUGAGAAAACUUAUUCCUGCAUUGCAGUACCUGCUUUGCAGUGUCUUUCUGCAUCUGUGCACUAUGGGUUUUAGAUCCUGAAACAUGGUUUCCUGCACUACCAUUAAUGCAGAAAUCUUUAUACCUACCCCAAAGUCUUAGUUGGAGUAUAAUGAUAUACAGUGAAGCUGAUCAUCUGUAUCAAAACUAGUAAGAAGAGUUUACUGUGCUUAAGUCCUGGGGUUUUGGAUCUUUAUUCAUCUCUAGUAGUUCCACUCUGACCCUUGGUUUGCCUUCUGGAUUUAAAAAAACCCAACGCCCUCCUCUUAGAAAGUUUUAUCAGUGAGCUAUUAAAUAUCACUGUAACCGCUAGGCCCAUCAGUUCAUAUAGGAGAUACCUGCUAUUUGUUUGUACCGUGCAAAUACAACAAGCUUCUCGUUUUAUCUCUACAAGCCACAUUUAAGGAGUUUCUGCUGGUGAUACGUUUUUUGACAACUUGUUAGAAAAAAGCUUUUGUGCUGCUGUCAGGCAAAACCAGAUACAUUCUUCAGCCUCAUCAGUCUUUUAAAUUUGAAAAAAUAUCUGUUAAUGUAAUAAUUAAAAUGACAUCAAGCAAGCAAACAACCAGAAAUUAAUUACAUUAAUUAAAAUGAUUAAGAGAGGAAAAUAAAUCCAUUUAUAAGCAAGAUGGCAAUUGCUUCCUUCCAGUGCAUUUUAUUAAGAAGGGGUUGCACGUACUGUCCCCCAGUUGGAGGCUAGGUUCUCACCUACAGACAGAGGCAUCUGUUCCACAUCACCUCAGCCACAGCUUGGUGCUCUGAUGGGACAUAAGCCUGGGAGGUCUGACGAUCCAGACUUAGAGUUGAGUUUGCUGGUGCUCUGUCCUCUGCAGCUGCCGUGUGUCACCUCUGUGACGGAUGCACUCGACUCCUUGACCAAACUUGUGGUAGUGUGGUUCAGUCUCCAAAGGAAGCAAAGGCCUCGGCCAUAACCGGGCCAAGAAAUUCUCUAGUUCCAACCCGUUCUCUGAAAACCCACACAGGAACAGGCUGACAUGGUGAGCAUCGACGCAUGUGGGCUUGGAAACUGGAACACUAACCAUGUGAUUAACACAUGAAUAGCAGGUGGUUAUUCCAAGACUCAUUUAUCAAGGAACAAAGAAAGUUGUGGGUACAAGGAGUCUCAUGCUUACCUUUUCCACUGCGUGUAAUUUGACCACGAGCCAACCACUUUUUUCCAUAAAUACGACAGCCUCAGUGAGCUGCCUUUGAGCUCUCCCUGCUAAGCAGCUGGCUGCACAGCUGGGAUCGCCCCUUGAGCUGGGAUGCCUCUCAAGGUUACUCCUCGAGACUGAGAGACCCCUUACCAACUGCAGAUCUUUGGUGUGUGUUUUGUGAAGGUCUCGCUGAGAGAAAGCACCUGGGUAAGGCAAGGUGUGAAGACUGCCUGCCGUUCUCUCUCAGCUGCCCCUCCGUCCUCCUCGGCGGCUAAACGCCGCAGCCUGACCUCCUGCCCUGACCCGGCAGGGUCAGUCCCUCGGGCUAGGGUCAGCAUGCAGGCUUGCUCCAGAGGAGCAGGAUGCUGGGGGUAAGUGGAUGAGGUGAUUCCCUUGCACAGGUACAGCUUGCCCAGGUCAGUCCAGCAGGCUCGGCUGAAGCCUGUUGAAACGAAGCCUCAAAUAACUUCCAGGGCUGGGAAUGCUGCCUGGCUUGGUGCCAGCAGAAUUGAAACCCUGCAUUAAGAAGAAGUUCCCUAUGCUAUGCUCAGCUGCUGCAGGAGAGGGGGAAACUCACCCUUCCUCCAUUCCUCCUCUUCUGCGGUUGUGGACAGCCUCUGCUUUCACAGGGUCAAAACACAGCUUGCCUUUGGGGCGUAUUUGCACAGCACAGACAAAGAGCAGACCUAAAUUCAAGUUAGGGAACUGAUUGCGUUGUUAAGAUGGGUGAAAUUUGUUGCACAGGAGCUAGACAUUUGUUGGGCCUUAAGCUUCCCUUCAUAAUCAGUUUAGCUGCAGGCUGGUCACGCUGGUAUCCUUGAUUUAUAGCAGAAGCCAGGCCAUUUCUUUUGUUGCUCUCAAAGACUUCCUGGAAUUGCUUUGUGACCUCUGCAGAGCUUCAGAGCGUGGAAACAUUGCAGAGUCCUGCAGUGCAUGGGUACCCCUGAUAAAACAGCAGGCAGCUACCGAGUCUUUUGGAGCUGUCACGGGCUCCAUGGCACUCACUGAGCAGGAACAUAUUUGUAGUCGUCUGACAUCAUAGCUGAGUUUUUGAGGGCACUGAGGUAGAGGUGACUUGCUUCUGCUGUGGCCACUCUAAGACCCAUUAGUGGCUGCUGCCUGGGAGGGCAGGGUGUGAGGGCGCCUAGGAUCCACCAUCCUUUGGGUUCUGCCAUGCUGCUCCUUGUCACAUAGGAAAUCUUAAGUAAGUUCUGGGGGGGGAAAAAAAGUUACUUUUAUCCUUAUAUGCUGCAUUUUCUCUCCUUCUCUGGCCAGGGUAGCUGUCAUCUAAUACAGUGACUGCAUGACCCUCCAGAGGGAUCCACGUGCCUCCUGUAGCAUCUAUACACCGGUGGUGGUUCUCCUUCCAUUCCAGAAGCAGAAAUUUACUACCCAGAGGUGUUGCUGCCGACUGGAAGAGACGACUGACGUUACCACAGUUUUUCUGAAGUUGCAGACUCCCUUGUACUCGGUUCUGCCUGGUAAAAUUCAGAAAAAGGCUAUUUCUACAGAAGGCAGUCACGCUGCUGGAUGUGCAGUGCUACACCAGGUGAAACCGCAGCUGCGAUUGAGCAAAAUCCCUGCUGUGGCGGUCCCCGGAAGCACCGGAGGGCUUGCCAGCGUGGCUGGGAUGUUUCCUCUGCGCUAUCCCUACCCUGCAUAGGAGCUUCAGCCCCGGUCCUAGCCCAAGGGGGGGGAUGGAGGAGGGACUCACCCAAGAUCUUGAAGGUCUGGCAGUGCCCCUUCUGAAGGACUGCUGUGGGGCCCUGCAGGCAGGCGUUGCUCCGCCACAGCUCCCUUCUGAUGAAGCCAUAGAGGAUGUUGAGGCAGAUGAUGGGCAGGAUGAAGUAGGAGGUGGUGACCCAGAACAUGGUGGCCGGAGUCCAUGGCAAGGUAGCGCUCCACAGCAAGGGCGGUGCAAUAGGUGCAGCCCUCACUGAGAUAGUGUGGGGGGGAGGCAGCACAGCAGCUGCCCAAAAAUCCAGGGCUAGGAGUGCCAGAGGUUAAAGGGCAGCCCCAGGAGGAUGAGCAGGUCUGAGACAGUGGCGGUCUUCAUGUCACCAGGGAUGACCAGUGCAGUCAGGAUGCUGCCCACCAUGCUGACCAUGCAGAGCCCCAGGCAGACGGCCUUGACUGGGACAAAUGCCCGCACCAGCAGCGCUGAGCACUGCUGCUCGUCGCGGGGCGUCCACGGCCACAGCUCACCCUUGCUGCUGUUCCUGCCUC